rnacentral:rRNA from 1 species
AUGUCAAAAGCAAAUUGGAGUCCAGAAAUGACCACCAUUUUUUGCAAUCUCGCUACUAAGGAGAAGGAAAAGGGGAAUAGGCCUACCAAAUUUUUGAACCCUACUGGAUACAAGAAUAUAGAAGUUGGCUUCUUUCAGCAAACCGGAAAACUUUACAGUAGGCUGCAGUUCAAAAAUAAAUGGGGCAGUUUGAGGACCUUGUAUAGGGAUUGGCUGAUCCUAAAGAAUACAUCUACUGGACUUGGUUGGAAUGAUGAAACGAACACCGUGAGUGCUGAUGACGAAUGUAAGAAUAGUGUUGCUGCUGAAAUUGAAAAGAUAAUGGAAGAAGUUGUGGCAUGUGGAGCGAAUGAAGCAAGUGAUGAGUACUUCAUAGCAACCAAGUUGUUUGUGAAGUUUGAAAAUCGUUGUUUCUUUAACAAUAUGAAGACUAGCGACGGGAAGAAUAAUUGGCUUAGGAGGAUGUAUGAAGAGCGAAAUAGGCAUUAG